UGAAGAUGUUAUUUUUACAGAUCAGCUAAAUUAUCUAUAGUAAAGGAUCCUACAAAUUAAUGUAAGAUACAGUCACAGAAAUAAUUAUAUUUAUAAGUACGUCUGAACCAGUGACAACUCUACAACAGAUUGAUCCAUCGGAUCACAAGCAGUGAUGGUGAUACAUGGUUGUGUACAUUCUGUAUAUACAACUCGUCUAAACAUCAACC
rnacentral:lncRNA from 1 species